UUCUUCUCUGUUCAUUCUGGUUGGGGAAAGACGAAGGGGAAAUAGAGCACGAGAGAGAGAGAGAGCUGGUGGAUUGCCACCGGGAGAGGAGUUGGUAUGGAACGAGGAAGAUGGGCAGCAAGAAGAAGGCAAAUAAGUGUGUGUGUGGGGUUGGAAGCAGGAAGAAGUUCCAUGAGAAGGGUUCUUAAACCCAAUUAGAUUAUGAGUAUACUUAGGGACUGAGGAGACUGAAUCCCGCCAUUCGAAAGGUCGAUUCGAUGGACUACAUCUUAGGAUGACGCCGGCCCGAUCCAGCCAUCAAGUUCGGCCCAGCAGCAAGCCCGUUCGGCUCGGCCCAGUCCAUUGAUCACCUAGCCCAGCACCGACAGCGCAACUCGGCCCAACAAUCCAAUCGGCCCAGCCCUGAUCUCAAAGGCCCAGUCCGACCCAAUUCUCCCUCAGCAGCCCAACUCCCUGGCGAAUUUUUUUAAUUUUUUUAUUUACAGAAUCACCCCUCAACUUCCCGAACUAGGUAAAUUCCAGACUUAGUGGCAUGUUUAGGGCUCCGAUUCUGAAUAUUAAUGCUUGCUUGAAGGAUAUGAUGUGAAAUGAGAGUUUUUGGGUUGCGUGGGUAAUCGAAUUUGUCCCGAACUCGAUUUU